UACCUGACCACAAAACGUCAAAAUGACAGUAUGUGUGCAAACAUUUAACUGAUUCUGCGUUUUUACUCUAAAUAAAUACUUAUUAGUGUUUCUUAGCUUCCAAGUACAUUUUUUUUGGACAAAAUCAAUAGCGUAAUAAUAACAAUGCCAGUAUGUAGUGUUUUAGCGUGUGAAAACAGAACAUAUCGAAGCAGUCCGGGUACAUCCUAUCACAGGUUUCCACUUCAAGAACGUGAACGCACUGAUUGGGUUAAAGCAUGUGGAAGAACAAACUGGGAACCGCCUAAAAGUUCUGUAAUAUGCUCUAAGCAUUUUGAUGACAACUUCUUUAUUAAACAUGGAGAUAGAACAAGUCCCAACCAAGUUCUGUCAUUUGGAAAAUGUUUCUGUACCAAGUUGUUCACCAUCCUCAAUGCAACAUAGUGAAGUUGCCGGCAUCCCUGCCAACUAUAUUUAGAAGCAGGAAAAUCCAACUAAGCGAGGCAAAAGAACAUGAUUACACAGAUACGCCUCGGAAGAAAAAGUUAAAGCUUAUGCUUGAAAGAAAAAGGGUUUUGUCAGAAACUCGAUUGAAAAAACUACGUGCUGCAAGACAAGCGAACCGGCGUUUAGUAAAAAAAAAUGCUGAACUGUCUGACGUUAUUGCUGAACUGCGGCUAAACUUUAAAUUUUGAAAAACAGAUCAACUCUUCUCUUUCAUUUUUAAGAGAUGAUGCGUUAAUAGAAGAAGCUUUCGAAUCCGAGGAACUUGAUUUUUCAGUAGACCAUGACUAUCUGCCAGAUCCAUCCCGUUUAACAGAAUAUACAAAACAUGUAGUGGUAUAUAUUGCGGGCUUUGUUGUUACCAAAGUGUCCAAAAUAGUAAAGUGUCACGAUUGCUUAAGUAGCAUAGUGGAGAUGUCAAAUUUAAACUUGUUAUUAAUUUCCAAAAAAGACAAAGGCGGUUUGCGAUAUCCUUCUGCUGAUGUAAUAAAUUUAUGUGAAAUUGCUGAAAGAAUUUUUAGACAAAAUGUCAUACGGUUAGGUUUAAAAAUACUGUCAACAAAAAAAUAUUUUAAUGCUUUUAAUCAGGAAAUGUAUACAACUAAGCCCAAUUAAAGAUUUUUUUUAAUUUCACGGCAACCGGUUUGACCAUUCUCCUUUAGAAAGCCAUGAAAUGCUUUUAAUGAAAGCCAUAAUUAUGAAUUAUUUAAAAGUUCGGUUUCAUCAUUACGCCAAAAACUUAUCAGAGCCUGAUGUAAAAGUGCGAAAUAUGUACAACAAAUUGACCCUGUUACGUAAUCAAUGAAUAUUUUCAGUUUAUUAUUUUUGUUUUUUUUUAUAGUCAUUUAAACAAAGUUUCUUUCUAUUAA